UAACUGAGUAUAAGCGGUCAGCGUGACAUCAGAUUCACGCAGGACAUUGCUCUACAG
ncrna:Pantoea sp. GM01 NMT1 RNA